CCAGUAAAUCGCCUUAUCGCUGCGCUUUUAGCGUAGAGGAAAGUCCGGACACCAUAGUGUAAUCAUAGUGGCUAACAGCCAUCCACCGAGAGGUGAGGAAAAGUGCAACAGAAAGUAUGUACAGGUCAUGCUGUAGUGAAACCAGGUAAACUCUAUGAGGUGCAAUACCAUGUAUACUAACGUUUGAGCGUGCACGCGCGAUUGUUAGAGGGUAGGUAGCUAAAGUCUAUUGGUAACAAUAGUCGUAGAUAAAUGAUAAGGGUUACGUCUAGGCGUAAUACAGAAUCCGGCUUAUAGAUUUGCUUAUAUA
rnacentral:RNase_P_RNA from 1 species